rnacentral:lncRNA from 1 species
AUAGUGGAAGACUACAGACAUGGCAACAUAGUGGAGACCUACAGACUGGAGACAUUACAUCAUAGUGGAGGCCUGCAGACUGGGGAUAUGACAACAUAGUGGAGGCCUACAGACUGGAGACAUUACAUCAUAGUGGAGGCCUACAGACUGGAGAGAUUACAUCAUAGUGGAGGCCUACAGACUGGAGACAUUACAUCAUAGUGGAGGACUACGGUCUGGGGACAUGACAUUAUUAUGGAAGACUACAAACAUGGCAACAUAGUGGAGGCCUACAGACUGGAGACAUUACAUCAUAGUGGAGGCCUACAGACUGGAGACAUGACAACAUAGUGGAAGACUACAGAAUAGAGACAUUACAACAUAGUGGAUGCCUACAGACUGGAGACAGGACAACAUAGUGAAGGCCUACAGACUGGAGGCCUACAGAAUGGAGAUAUGACAACAUAGUGGAGGCCUACAGACUGGAAACAAUGCAACAUAGUGGAGGCCUACAGACUGGAGUCAUGAAAACAUAGGGGAGGCCUACAGACUGAAGACAUGACAACAUAGUGGAGGCCUACAGACUGGAGACAUGACGACAUAGUGGAGGCCUACAGACUGGAGACAUGACAACAUAGUGGAGGCCUACAGACUGGAGACAUGACAACAUAGUGGAGGCCUACAGACUGGAGACAUGACAUCAUAGUGGAGGCCUACAGACUGGAGACAUGACAACAUAGUGGAGGCCUACAGACUGGAGACAUGACAACAUAGUGGAGGCCUACAGACUGGAGACAUGACAUCAUAGUGGAGGCCUACAGACUGGAGACAUGACAACAUAGUGGAGGCCUACAGACUGGAGACAUGACAACAUAGUGGAGGCCUACAAACUGGAGACAUUACAACAUAGUGGAGACCUACAGACUGGCGUCAUGACAACAUAGUGGAGGCCUACAGACUGGAGACAUUACAACAUAGUGGAGACCUACAGACUGGAGGCCUGCAGUCUGGAGACAUGACAACAUAGUGUAGGCCUACAGACUGGAGACAUUACAUCAUAGUGGAGGACUACGGACUGGGGACAUGACAUUAUAGUGGAGGACUACGGACUUGGGACAUGACAUUAUAGUGGAAUACUACAGACAUGGCAACAUAGGGGAGGCCUACAGACUGGAGACAUGACAACAUAGUGGAGGACUACAGACUGGAGACAUGAAAUUAUAGCGGAGGCCUACAGACUGGAGACAUGACAUCAUAGUGGAGGACUACAGACUGGAGACAUGACAACAUAGUGGAGGCCUACGGACUGGGGACAUGACAUUACAGAUGAGGACUACGGCCUGGGGACAUGACAUCAUAGUGGAGGCCUACAGACUGGAGACAUUACAUCAUAGUCGAGGCCUACAGACUGGAGACAUGACAACAUAGUGGAGGCCUACAGACUGGAGUCAUGACAACAUAGUGGAGGCCUACAGACUGGAGACAUUACAACAUAGUCAAGGCCUAGAGACUGGAGACAUGACAUCACGGUAGAGGGCUACAAACUGGAGACAAUACAACAAAGUCAAGGCCUAGAGACUGGAGACAUGACAUCACGGUAGAGGGCUACAAACUGGAGACAUUACAUCAUAGUGGAGGCCUACAGACUGGAGACAUUACAUCAUAGUGGAGGACUACGGACUGGGGACAUGACAUCAUAGUGGAGGCCUACCGACUGGGGACAUGACAUUAUAGCUGAGGACUACGGACUGGGGACAUGACAUCAUAGUGGAGGCCUACAGACUGGAGACCAGCAGACUGGAGACAUGACAACGUAAUGGAGGCCUACAGACUGGAGACAUGACAACAUAGUGGAGGCCUACAGACUGGAGUCAUGACAACAUAGUGGAGGCCUACAGACUGGAGACAUGACAACAUAGUGGAGGCCUACAGACUGGAGACAUUACAACAUAGUCAAGGCCUAGAGACUGGAGACAUGACAUCACGGUAGAGGGCUACAAACUGGAGACAUUACAACAUAGUGGAGACCUACAGACUGGAGUCAUGACAACAUAGUGGAGGCCUGCAGACUGGGGAUAUGACAACAUAGUGGAGGCCUACAGACUGGAGGCAUUACAUCAUAGUGGAGGACGACGGACUGGGGACAUUACAUUAUAGUGGAGGACUACGGACUGGGGACAUGACAUCAUAGUGGAGGCCUACAGACUGGAGACCACUAGACUGGAGAUAUGACAACGUAGUGGAGGCCUACAGACUGGAGACAUGACAACAUAGUGGAGGCCUGCAGACUGGGGAUAUGACAACAUAGUGGAGGCCUACAGACUGGAGACAUUACAACAUAGUGGAGACCUACAGACUGGAGGCCUGCAGUCUGGAGACAUGACAACAUAGUGUAGGCCUACAGACUGGAGACAUUACAUCAUAGUGGAGGACUACGGACUGGGGACAUGACAUUAUAGUGGAGGACUACGGACUUGGGACAUGACAUUAUAGUGGAAUACUACAGACAUGGCAACAUAG